GACGAACGCUGGCGGCGUGCCUAAUACAUGCAAGUAGAACGCACAGUUUAUACCGUAGCUUGCUACACCAUAGACUGUGAGUUGCGAACGGGUGAGUAACGCGUAGGUAACCUGCCUGGUAGCGGGGGAUAACUAUUGGAAACGAUAGCUAAUACCGCAUAAUAUUGAUUAUUGCAUGAUAAUUGAUUGAAAGAUGCUAUUGCAUCACUACCAGAUGGACCUGCGUUGUAUUAGCUAGUAGGUGAGGUAACGGCUCACCUAGGCGACGAUACAUAGCCGACCGGAGAGGGGGACCGGCCACACUGGGACUGAGACACGGCCCAGAGUCCUACGGGAUGCAGCAGUAGGGAAUCUUCGGCAAUGGACGAAAGUCUGACCGAGCAACGCCGCGUGAGUGAAGAAGGUUUUCGGAUCGUAAAGCUCUGUUGUAAGAGAAGAACGGGUGUGAGAGUGGAAAGUUCACACUGUGACGGUAUCUUACCAGAAAGGGACGGCUAACUACGUG
rnacentral:rRNA from 1 species